rnacentral:rRNA from 1 species
UACUGAAGGUGCAAGCGUUAAUCGGAAUUACUGGGCGUAAAGCGCGCGUAGGCGGCUUGGUUAGUGAGAUGUGAAAUCCCCGGGCUCAACCUGGGAACUGCAUUUCAUACUGCCAAGCUAGAGUAUGGGAGAGGGCUGUGGAAUUCCAAGUGUAGCGGUGAAAUGCGUAGAUAUUUGGAGGAACAUCAGUGGCGAAGGCGGCAGCCUGGCCCAAUACUGACGCUGAGGUGCGAAAGCGUGGGUAGCAAACAGG